rnacentral:rRNA from 1 species
GGAAUUAUUGGGCGUAAAGAGUCCGUAGGUGUUUUGUCAUGUAUGAAGUCAAAGACUGAGGCUUAACCUCAGGGAGGUUUCAUAAACUGGCAGAAUAGAGUUGUGUAGAGGCAUGUGGAAUGCUGCAAGUAGGGGUAAUAUCCGUUGAUAUGCAGUGGAACACCAAAAGCGAAGGCAGCAUGCUGGGCACAAACUGACGCUCAAGGACGAAAGCGUGGGUAGCGAACAGGAUUAGAUACCCUGGUAGUCCACGCCGUAAACGAUGAUAACUCGCUGUCGGAGGUUCGACCCCUUCGGUGGCUAAGCUAACGCGAUAAGUUAUCCGCCUGGGUAGUACGGUCGCAAGAUUAAAACUCAAAGGAAUAGACGGGGACCCACACAAGCGGUGGAGCAUCUUGUUUAAUUCGAUAAUAAGCGGAAAACCUCACCAGGACUUGACAUCCCGAGAAGAUCGCAGAAAUGUGAUUGUGCCUUUAGGAACUCGGUGACAGGUGCUGCAUGGUUGUCGUCAGCUCGUGCCUUGAGGUGUUCGGUUAAGUCCGUAAACGAGCGCAACCCAUGUCCAUAGUUGUAUGUUUCUAUGGAGACUGCCGGCUCUAAGUCGGAGGAAGGUAUGGAUGACGUCAAAUCAGCAUGGCCCUUAUGUCCUGGGCUACAAAGGUGCUACAAUGGACGAUACAAAAGGCAGCCAAGGAGUAAUCCGGAGCCAAUCCUUAAAGUCGUUCUAAGUUCGAAUUGAGGGCUGAAAUUCGCCCUCAUGAAGUUGGAAUCGCUAGUAACCGU